GCAUAACGCGAAGAACCUUACCAGGUCUUGACAUCGGGAUGAAAGCCUUAGAGAUAAGGUCCUCCUUCGGGACAUCCCAGACAGGUGGUGCAUGGUUGUCGUCAGCUCGCGUCGUGAGAUGUUGGGUUAAGUCCCGCAACGAGCGCAACCCUUAUCAUUAGUUGCUACGCAAGAGCACUCUAGUGAGACUGCCGUUGACAAAACGGAGGAAGGUGGGGGAUGACGUCAAAUCAUCAUGCUCCUUAUGACCUGGGCUACACACGUACUACAAUGGCAAUUAACAGAGGGAAGCAAUACAGCGAUGUGGAGCAAAAUCCCCAAAAAUUGUCCCAGUUCGGAUUGUAGGCUGCAACUCGCCUACAUGAAGUCGGAAUUGCUAGUAAUCGCAGAUCAGCAUGCUGCGGUGAAU
rnacentral:rRNA from 1 species